rnacentral:rRNA from 1 species
CUGGUUGAUCCUGCCAGUAGUCAUAUGCUUGUCUCAAAUGAUUAAGCCAUGCAUGUCUAAUACAAGCCUAACUAAGGUGAAACCGCGAAUGGCUCAUUAAAUCACACCUAAUCUACUGGAUAGCCUAGUCAGUUACUUGGAUACCUGAGGUAAUUCUUCAGCUAAUACAUGCACACAAGCCUCGAACUUACGUGAGAGGCGCUUUUAUUAGAUCAAAACCAGUCGCUUUCGAGCGUCCCUUUGGUGACUCUGAAUAACUUUGGGCUGAUCGCAUGGCCUCGUAGCCGGCGACAUAUCCUUCGAAGGUGUGCCCUAUCAAUGUCGACUGUGGCAUAGACGCCCACAGUGUGUUUUGACGGGUAACGGGGAAUCAGGGUUCGAUUCCGGAGAGGGAGCCUUAAAAACGGCUACCACAUCCAAGGAAGGCAGCAGGCACGCAAAUUACCCAAUGACCGAAGGUCGAGGUGUGACG